AGGGCUAUAGCUCAGUUUUAGAGCAUCUGCUUUGCAUGCAGAAGGUCUAAGUUCCAAAACCUGGAAGCUCUA